AGAGGCUGAUCGGCCACACUGGAACUGAAACACGGUCCAGACUCCCACGGGAGGCUGCAGUGGGGAAUUUUGCGCAAUGGACGAAAGUCUGACGCAGCGACGCCGCGUGAGGGAUGAAAGCCUUCGGGUUGUAAACCUCUGUCAAAAAGGAUCAAGGAUAUCGUGGUUAAUACCCACUUUAUUUGAUUUAACUUUUAAAGGAAGCCCCGGCUAACUACGUGCCAGCAGCCGCGGUAAUACGUAGGGGGCAAGCAUUACUCGGAUUCACUGGGCGUAAAGGGAGCGUAGGCGGUUUGAUAAGUUAGUGGUGAAAGUCCUCAGCUCAACUGAGGGACUGCCAUUAAAACUGUCAAACUUGAGGACAGGAGAGGAAAGUGGAAUUUCCGGUGUAGCGGUGGAAUGCGUAGAUAUCGGAAAGAACACCAGAAGCGAAGGCGGCUUUCUGGACUGUUCCUGACGCUGAGGCUCGAAAGCUAGGGUAGCGAACAGGAUUAGAUACCCUGGUAGUCCUAGCCGUAAACGAUGGAUACUAGGCCUUACUACUAGUAGGGCCGUAGCUAACGCGUUAAGUAUCCCGCCUGGGUAGUACGGUCGCAAGUCUGAAACUCAAAGGAAUUGACGGGGACCCGCACAAGCAGUGGAGCAUGUGGUUUAAUUCGAUACAACGCGAAAAACCUUACCUGGGCUUGAACUGUAGGCAUUAGCAACCUGAAAGGGAUUGUGAUUCGUCUUUGACGAAACCUACAGAGGUGCUGCAUGGCUGUCGGCAGCUCGUGUCGUGAGAUGUUGGGUUAAGUCCCGCAACGAGCGAAACCCUUGUUCUUAGUUGUCAGCGAGUAAUGUCGGAUACUUUAAGAAGACUGCCGGUGAUAAAUCGGAGGAAGGUGGGGAUGACGUCAAGUCAGCAUGGCCUUUAUGUCCAGGGCUACACACGUGCUACAAUGGGUGGUACAGCAGGAAGCUAAGCCGCGAGGUGGCGCAAAUCCUUAAAACCAUUCUUAGUUCGGAUUGCAGGCUGCAAUUCGCCUGCAUGAAGUUGGAAUUGCUAGUAAUCACGGAUCAGCAUUGCCGUGGUGAAUUCGUUCUCGGGUCUUGUACACACCGCCCGUCACAUCACGAAAGCUGGUGGUGCCAGAAGUCAUUUUCUUAACUUCGGAGAGAGAUGCCUAAGGCAUUGCUAGUGAUUGGGGUGAAGUCGUAACAAGGUA
rnacentral:rRNA from 1 species